rnacentral:snoRNA from 1 species
AACCCAUGGUGAGGGCACCUUCUCAAAAGGUCCUUGUAUCUCUCUCAUGUAUUGUAGAGUGUUUCUAAAUCCAUCUGCACAAAAAAAGAGAUAUUGUUACGUAAUUU